UACGGAGGGGGCCAGCGUUGUUCGGAAUCAUUGGGCGUAAAGGGCGCGUAGGCGGCCACGCAAGUCGGAUGUGAAAUCCCUCGGCUCAACCGAGGAACUGCAUCCGAAACUGCGAGGCUCGAGUCCUGGAGAGGGUAGUGGAAUUCCCAGUGUAGCGGUGAAAUGCGUAGAUAUCUGGAGGAACACCGGUGGCGAAGGCGGCAUCCUGGACCGAUACUGACGCUGAGGAGCGAAAGCCAGGGGAGCAAAGCGGG
rnacentral:rRNA from 1 species